AACUGCCAUGACAUUAUGAUACUCAAUAUUUGCAAUUGAACUUUCCUAGUUAAAUAAAGGUUAAAUAACAAAAAUACAAAUUUAAAACGACAUACAGUGCAUUCGGAAGGUAUUCAGGCCCCUUUACAUUUUCCAUAUUGUGUAAUGUUACAGCCUUAUUCUAAAAUGUAUUCAAUAAAUGUUUUUCAUCAUCAUUCUACACACAAAGCAAAUGUAUAAAAAAUGUAAAACAGAUAUACCUUAUUUAUAUAAGCAUUCAGACCCUUUGCUCUGAAACUCUAAAUUGAGCUCAGGUACAUCCUGUUCCAUUGAUCAUCCUUGAUGUUCCUACAACCUGAUUGGAGUCCACCUGUGGUAAAUUCAAUUGAUUGGACGUGAUAUGGAGAGGUACACUCUUGUCUAUAUAGGCACCCACAGUUGACAAUGCAUGUCAGAGCAAAAACCAAGCCACAGGGUUGAAGGAAAUGUCUGUAGACUCCUGAGACAGGAUUGCAUUGAGGCACAGAACUGGGGAAGGGUAGCAAACACUUUCUGCAGCAUUGAAGGUCACAGUGGCAUCCAUUCUUAAAACUUCUCUUUGAUAGGGCGCAGCAUUUCUACUUUUUGAUAAAUAGCGUGCACAAUUUCAACUUCCUGCUACUCAUGCCAGGAAUAUAUUAUAUGCAUAUGAUUAGUAGGUCUGGAUAGAAAACACUCUGAAGUUUCUAAAACUGGUUCAAUCAUGUCUGUGACUAUAACAGAACUUAUGUAGCAGGCAAAACCCCAAGGAAAAACUGUUCAGAAUAAAAAAAAACAUGUUCUCCCUCUGACAGUUCCCUCAGUUGUCUUUGCCAAGGGAAAUUAGAUAGCGCCCAUUUUACCGUUCCUACGACUUCCACAGGAUGUCACCAGUCUUUGGAAUUGGGUUGAAGUUAAUCAUUGGUGAAACGAAGAAGAGGCACUUCCUGGAACAAUGUUACACUUUUGAUAGUUACGCAAGAGGGAAAAAGGAGCAUGUUUUGUUUACUUUCUCUAUUUUUUUCUUAUUUCACCUUUAUUUAACCAGAAGAAACAGCAUCAGCAGGAGCCCGAGUAUGAAUCAUCACUUCCAUCUAGUGGAUUUAAUCAGAAACACUCUCCAGCCAAGACCGGGAUCAAGCAUGACAUCUACUGGUCUUUAAACAUUCUUGAAAAUGCAAGUGUCUUACACAUUUCAAAAGAUUAGAAUCUUGGUAAUCAAACUAAGUUUUCCAAUUUAAAAUGGCUAUUACAGAGAACAAAUCCCAUGCUUUUGUUUGAGAAGAGCAAUCAAGAACAUAAACAUUUUCCGCCAUGACAGUUUUUAGACAUUCACAUCUGAAGGUAAAAUUAUGACUUACAAUCUGAUAUCUUGCUCUUAUUUCUCUUCCUGAGUAUCCCAUUGAUCAAAUGAAGUGCCGUUUUCUUUGAUAAAAUCAAUUUUUAUAGCCUAAAUCUAAACAUUUUGUAAACUAUUUGUGCCGUGAAUUCCUUCUCUAUCAUUUUUUUACGGAGCAUUCGGGGUGAUUCGCCCCUGUAAACAAUCGUUUAUAUAGUCAUGGUGGGUUUCAGUGCAUUCCUCUGGAUGUUUGCAACACAGUCAAAUAUCAUUGUUUUUUUUGCGGGGAGAAUUGACCGAAGUGAGCUGAUUUAAAGACAACGAUAAAUGACUACCUUACGCACCAAUAAUUUUAGCGAAGCUUCAUUGAUUGACUAUAUUUCUGCUAAAUGACCACUGAUUUUCUUGAAAUCUAGCUGGGUAGAUAGCCAAUGAGCUGAGGUAAACGCCAGUAUAUAAUGGUUUGGGGUUGGACCACAAUUCCUUGGUUGUAAUCGCACGCGCAGGGAACUCCAUUUUCGCCUUGACGAUCAGAGGAAUUGCUGUAAAGGCUUUUUACGCAGCUGUAUUUCGGAAAGUUGUAGUUUCAACGAUUUCAUUGAAGAUAUCCUGGCGAAUACAUAAUGUAAAGCGAAGUCAAACUCUAAAGUAAAAGUGAAAGUGAGACAGAUUUUUUGUUUGAGGAAUCUUGGAGUGUUAUGAUUCAAACGAACUGAGGAGGUGUUUCUGCAAGGACAGGACGUACUUCUGGACGGUGAUAGCGACUCCGACUGGGAGGCCCCGGUGCCAAGCUGCCCGCUCUACCUGUGCCCCCAAUGGUGUUCAUAUGCCACAGUUCUUUACUGCAGGCAUGACUGCCUCAGGGCCAAAAGGGCGCAGCAUGGAGGCGUCGGUUGUGUUCUGUGUCGCAUGAAAUGCACCACUUGUUCAGUUUGCCUCUGCUUUACAUCAGAAAGAGACUGCUAUGGGACAUGGCACAGGCAGCAAAAUACUGUGACAAGGAUUUCCAAGGGUUGCACUGUUUUUUUUUCUAUAUUUUUUUUCUAAUAUUUUUUUUGUGUGUGUGUGUGUGUGUGUGUGUGUGUGUGUGUGUGUGUGUGUGUGUGUGUGUGUGUGUGAUACAGUUAUUUGCACUGCUGUAUAUAGUUAUAGGUCAUUUCACCAAUUCGGCCACUUGGGUACAUUUGGGCAACUUGUGUGGGACACAGUUAUCAGUCUGAAACUUUGCGCACCUACAGUUGCCCUCUUGUGCUGUCCAUCAAAAUUAUCUCCAGCAUCCUAUCUGACUGUGUGGCUAUUCUAGUACAUGUGGAAAAUGAUACUACAACAAUAAAAAACAAAACAUA